rnacentral:lncRNA from 1 species
UUAUAGUGCUUGGAGUAAUUGGAGUAUUUGUUCAGCAUCAUGUCAGCUUACAUCUCAAGAUUUUCCAAUUCAAUUUCGCAGUAGAAUUUGUGAAGGUGAUACUUUAGGUGGGGGUUGUUUGGGCCCAAGUAAUGAGUCUAUACCAUGUAACAAUAAUAUAUCUUGUCCAGGUAAUUUGACUGAUUGGAGUCAGUGGAGUACAUGCUCUAGUACUUGUAAGACUAUCAGUGUUGGACCUUACCAGUACAGGAACAGGUCUUGUGUUGGUUAUUCUACAUGGAAUGUUAAGGAUGUACCCUGUAAUGGCAGCAAUAUAUCUGACCAGCAAUUUUGCAAUCAAAAUAUUCCCUGCUUAGGUAAUUACAGUGCUUGGAGUGAUUGGAGUAUUUGUUCAGCAUCAUGUCGGAUUACUAAUCAAGAAUUUCCAUUUCAAAGUCGCCGCAGGAUUUGUGAAGGUGAUACUUUAGGCGGGGGUUGUAUCGGCGAAAGUUAUGAAUCUGGGCCAUGUAAUUAUAAUACACCUUGUCCAGG